rnacentral:rRNA from 1 species
AUGAACGCUGGCGGCGUGCCUAAUACAUGCAAGUCGAGCGAACAGACGAGGAGCUUGCUCCUCUGACGUUAGCGGCGGACGGGUGAGUAACACGUGGAUAACCUACCUAUAAGACUGGGAUAACUUCGGGAAACCGGAGCUAAUACCGGAUAAUAUAUUGAACCGCAUGGUUCAAUAGUGAAAGACGGUUUUGCUGUCACUUAUAGAUGGAUCCGCGCCGCAUUAGCUAGUUGGUAAGGUAACGGCUUACCAAGGCGACGAUGCGUAGCCGACCUGAGAGGGUGACCGGCCACACUGGAACUGAGACACGGUCCAGACUCCUACGGGAGGCAGCAGUAGGGAAUCUUCCGCAAUGGGCGAAAGCCUGACGGAGCAACGCCGCGUGAGUGAUGAAGGUCUUCGGAUCGUAAAACUCUGUUAUUAGGGAAGAACAAAUGUGUAAGUAACUAUGCACAUCUUGACGGUACCUAAUCAGAAAGCCACGGCUAACUACGUG